rnacentral:misc_RNA from 1 species
CCAUCUCUUACUGACAUUGGUGAUUGAGCCUGGGAUUGGAAGCUUAACCCAUGGCAGUGGGAUUGGCCAUUUCAAGUGAAGGGAGCCAAUACAAUGGCAGGAUGACUUCCUUCGUUGUUCUAUCUUGUAUGAUGGCUGCCAUGGGAGGAGUCAUUUUUGGUUACGAUAUCGGAAUUUCAGGUGGCGUGACAUCAAUGGAAUCAUUCUUGAAAAAAUUCUUCCCGGAAGUGUACAGAAAGAUGAAAGAAGACACAGAGAUAAGCAAUUACUGUAAAUUCGAUAGCCAACUGCUCACCUCCUUCACAUCCUCACUAUAUCUUGCUGGCCUUGUUGCUUCCUUCUUCGCCUCUUCGGUCACCAGAGCGUUUGGGCGAAAGCCAUCAAUCCUUUUAGGAGGUGUUGCCUUCCUUGCUGGAGCUGCCCUCGGUGGUGCUGCUUCUAAUGUCUACAUGUUAAUAUUUGGUCGUGUCUUGCUUGGGGUUGGUGUUGGUUUUGCGAAUCAGUCGGUUCCACUAUAUCUCUCUGAAAUGGCACCACCAAGAUAUAGAGGGGCAGUGAACAAUGGCUUUCAAUUUAGUGUUGGCAUCGGGGCACUGUCCGCCAACCUCAUAAACUAUGGGACUCAAAAGAUAAAAGGAGGUUGGGGAUGGCGAAUCUCCCUAGCCAUGGCAGCGGUUCCCGCCUCAAUCCUAACUCUAGGUGCACUUUUCCUCCCAGAGACACCCAACAGCCUGAUUCAGCGUGCCAAUAACCAUGAAAGGGCCAAAGAUAUGCUGCAACGGGUUCGAGGCAUCACCGAUGUCCAAGCAGAAUUUGAUGAUCUCAUAAAGGCUAGCUCAAUAUCAAAGACUAAUGAGCACCCAUUUAAGAAUAUUAUUAGAAGAAAGUAUAGGCCUCAACUAGCAAUGGCAAUAGCCAUUCCAUUUUUUCAGCAAGUUACAGGCAUCAAUGUCAUUGCAUUUUAUGCUCCAAUACUUUUCAGGACAAUUGGACUAGGUGAAAGUGCAUCCCUCUUGUCUUCGAUUGUGACAGGGGUUGUGGGUACUGCAUCCACAUUCAUAUCAAUGCUUAUUGUCGAUAAACUUGGUAGAAGAGCAUUGUUCAUAUUUGGGGGUGUACAAAUGUUUGUGUCACAGGUAAUGGUUGGAGGUAUUAUGGCAGCUCAGCUGGGUGAUCAAGGCGGCAUAGGCAAAGGGUAUGCUUAUAUAGUUCUGAUUUUGAUCUGCAUUUAUGUGGCUGGAUUUGGGUGGUCAUGGGGUCCUCUGGGAUGGUUGGUUCCUAGUGAGAUUUUCCCACUAGAGAUUCGAUCAGCAGGGCAAAGUAUUGUAGUAGCAGUUAGCUUUAUCUUCACUUUCAUUGUUGCACAAACUUUCCUAUCUAUGCUUUGUCACUUAAAGUCUGGAAUUUUCUUCUUUUUUGGGGUUUGGGUUGUAAUUAUGACUGCUUUUGUGUACUUAUUGCUGCCAGAGACAAAGAAUAUGCCCAUUGAGAAAAUGGAUAUAGUGUGGAGAGAGCACUGGUUCUGGAAGAGAAUUGUAGGGGAAGCUGUUGAGGACAGUAAAAUAGAAAUAGCUUGAAUUAAUUUUCAAACUUUGUUUAUGUACAAAUUCAUUUGAGAACAAGAAUAAUAGAAUUUACUGUC